ensembl:snRNA U1 U1 spliceosomal RNA
AUACUUACCUGGCAGGGGAGAUACCAUGAUCACGAAGGUGGUUUUCCCAGGGUGAGGCUCAUCCAUUGCACUGAGGGUGUGCUGACCCCUGCGAUUUCCCCAAAUGUGGGAAACUCGACUGCAUAAUUUGUGGUAGUGGGGGACUGCGUUCGCGCUCUCCCCUG